UCGGGCUUUCGAAUCAAUACC
rnacentral:miRNA from 1 species